rfam:Cavia porcellus supercont2_189 genomic scaffold, whole genome shotgun sequence.
AGCUUUUGGUUCAGUGAUGACUGGAUGUUUCUUCAUGUCAAUAUACUUGAGAUGUGCCUCCCUCAAACUUUGUUACUAUUUUGACACAUUACCCCUGUCUGACA